AUGUCGCUCAUGGCUGGAAUGCUUUCUCUCCUUCAGAUCUUCACUACUAUCUAUAAGAAGCAUUUCCUAGUCCUUGAUUUUAUUUCUAUUCCUCAGAGAUUAACCCCAGUUUAUCCUGUCCUUAUUCUGGUUAUAGUUUUUACAAGUUGUCUCCCCGAAUUAGACUGUGAGCUAAUGAUGGAGUUAAAGGGGAUAAAGAAACCUACCUGUGGGGUCCUCUUGGGGCUGUCCGAGUGAUGGGGCCAGAGCAGUCUGAAAAGGGAGUCUUUAGUCAACCAGCCUUCUGCAGGUAGGUGUGAAAGCCAAUGAGUAUACCUUGGCUAGACUAGGUUGACACCAAGCAGGUGGCAGGAAAUACCCAGCUGCUGUCUCUCCUCAUCCUAUGCCCUGCGAUCACCAGCCACCCCAGAAGAGGCUGCAAAUGGAAACAUUCUGAAGCAUCUUAGUUUCACUUCCUGAAACAGAUUCCCUGGGGGACCCUGGGGUGCUGUACCAGGCCUGAAUUAGAAGAUCUUUGAAGUCCCCACCCAGAGGGCAGGUGUAGAAUGAGGGCUCUAAGGGGGACAAAGGGUUUGUGGGAAUCCCCAGGCAGUUUGGUAAUGGGAUCUGCAGGAUGCCACUUUUACCUUUUAUUUCAUUUUGGUGAGGGUUGGGGCUCAGGGAGGCAUGGGUCUUGGCAGGCCUGACUGGGACUGGGGAGAAAGUAUUGAUACAGUUACAAUCAAAGGGUAGGGAUAUACUGGAGCCACCUUGGAAUAGUCACAGGGGCAGCUGGGCAGCUCAGUGGAAAGGGAGCCAGGCCUGGAGAAGGAAGGUGCUGGGUACCACUGUGGUCUCAGAUACUUCCUAGAUAGGUGUCCCUGGGCAAGUCACUUAACCCCCAUGGAACCCAUAUUUAGUAUCAAUUUUAAAACAGAGGGUAAAAAGAAAAGAAAAAGAAAUUAUUUACAAAUUGGGACUUGAUUUCUUGUUUUGUUGAUUGUCUAGACUUUAGAAAGUAUUGGAGAAAAUAUGAGUAAUUAGAAGAUUCAACUCAAAGCUGUAUCUUGCCCCAAUGGCAAUGUUAUUAAACAUUUACUAGCAUAUUCCUGUCAAAUGAUCUUCACACCUGCAAGAGUUUUUAUUAUUAGAAAAAAAUUUAUUAUUAUAUGAGUUUCUGCUCCUCCCCCUGGACCUCAUAGAACGAGGUUUUUUUGUGUCUUCAUGUACUUACCUUUCAGGAGUGUAGAAUCAGUCAGUUCAGUUCAACAAGUUAUUAAGCAUCAUGUGAUAAGGCACCAGAGCUUUUUAUUUGAACCAGCCUUGUAAGUUCAUUGGAAUAGGGAACUCCCAGUAUUUACCAAUACUUAUCGACACAUAUGUGUGUGCAUAUAUGUGAGUGAGUGGGUGCUUGGCUGCACUUAGCUAGAAACUCUUGAUGGUCAGGAUCAUGUCUUCUUUGAACUUCUUCAGCACUUACUAUAAGAUGUUAUAUGGUGGUAGCCUAAUAAAGAUUAAAUUACAGAAUUGUUUGUUGAUAUA
rnacentral:lncRNA from 1 species